ACACAGGAUUAGAGACAGCUGCGUUAGGCAAUGCGGAGCCACUGGGAGUGUCUGAGGGGUGAUGUAAGCUGAGGUGCACUCUGAGAAGAUUACUCUUAUCACUUUGGUUUAGAUGGAAUUAGUGAAAUGAAAAUGGGAGUGUCAGGGACAAUGGAGAAGAUACCAACGCAUUUACAGAGCCGGCUUUGAUCAGGAGAAUAUGGAGGAGGGGAACGUGGUAGCCAUGGAAGCGCGCUCAGCUCCGGCUACAGGAGCGCGGUUGACCGAGAGCGCCCGCUGCUGGCGCCUUGCACCCGCUGCCUCGUUCCGCUGGACGUCACUUCCCUGAGCCUGCGGUUACUGCGCAGGCGGGUGCCUGCAGGUGACUUGGCCAAGGAGUCACACUGCAGCAUGCAGAGUGUCUUCCUACGCACCCUUAUGCUUCCUCCCUCUCAUCACAGGCGUGAGACCUGCACUGGGUCUGGUGGGCUCCGCGUCUGCUCCUGGUCCCUUGAUCCUUCCCAGGCCCAAGAAAACGGAUGAGGUUUGGGAACUGGCUCACUCACUGCCUGGCUAUCAAAGAGGACCGUGACAUCUGUGCCAUUUACCAAGUAUGCAUCCCAUAUGCGAUACCAUCUAAUAGUUGCGGCAGUCUGGUGAGGGAUGUGAGCUGUGAGGAAACUGGGAGGGAAAACAAGAGUAUUUAAAUGGUUGCCCAAGGACUUGACAGCUAAUGAAUGGUACAGCAGAGGCUAAAGUGCUGUCUUCCAACUCCUAAUGCCAUACUCUUUCCAUCCGUGUAAUGAUAUUCAAGUGUUUGCCUAAACAUUUUUAAGGCAACAUAAGACUAUUACUCAAAUACAAAUUUUAUUUUAUUAUUAUUUGUAAUCAACUCUGCAAAUGUUCUAUACAGGGCUGCCACCAUAGUAAACAUACACCAUUUUAGUUAUUUAUUAUUAUUAUUUUUAAAAUUUUUGUCUUUUCAGGGCCGCACCCAUGGCAUAUGGAGGUUUCCAGGCUAGAGGUCAAAUCAGAGCUACAGCUGCCAGCCUAUGCCACCCACAGCAACACAGGAUCCAAGUUGCAUCUGCAAUCUACACCACUGCUCGUGGCAAUGCCAGAUCCUUGAUCCACCACUGAGUGAGGCCAGGUAUUGAACCCACAACCUCAUGGUUCCUAGUCGGAUUCAUUUCCGCUGCUCCACAAUGGAAACUCCAAACAUAGGCCAUUUUAUAUUCAUUUUUUUCCACGUAGCAUGAUAAUGUAAUGAUUUUUCUGUGUUGUGGCAUAGCCUUUAUAAUGAUUACUUUUCAUACAAUUGCAUUUAUUAGAAAAUAAUAAAUCUGACCAUUUCCCAUCCAUUUUCGGGGUGGGGUGGGACUGCUACUUCAAAACAUCUGGGGGUUCCCGUUGUGGCUCAGUGGUUAAGGAAUCCGACUAGGAACCAUGAGAUUGAAGGUUCGAUCCCUGGCCUUGCUCUGUGGGUUAAGGAUACUGCAUUGUUGUGAGCUGUAGUGUAGGUCACAGACGUAGCUCGGAUCCUACAUUUUUGUGGCUCUGGUGUAGGCUAGGGGUCAAAUUGAAGCUGUAGCUGCCGGCCUACGCCAUAGCCACAAGCAAUGCCAUAUCCCAGCCGCGUCUGCGAUCUACAACACAGCUGAUGGUAACGCUGGAUCCUUAACCCACUGAGCGAGGCCAGGGAUCAAUUGCGCAACCUCAUGGUUCCUAGUCGGAUUCGUUUCUGCUGUGCCACGACGGGAGCUCCUAGUCUUCGUUUUAUAGAUAAGGAAGCUGAGAUGCAGAGCACACAGUUAGCAAAAGGCAAUGCUAGGUCUUCAAGUAACAGGGCUCUUCCAAUUACAGAGCUAUCGAUAGAGAAUUGCAUGUCUUCACCUGAUGAGGUUUCCGUGCCAGGAGUUGAAACACUAGCCUUGUAAAAUAAUGCUGACUUCUCCACAUGGCCAGCCUCUCCAGCUUUCAAAAACUCUACCAGGUUCAAGAGAGCACCUCUAGCUGUCUUCUUCCAGGACCGUGAUACCUAAGCAGGGGUGGGCUGAGAGGGGAGGGGCCAGGAGGGGGGGAGAGGAGUCAGAAUUCCCUUCCUUGGAUUCCAAGAACCCUGGGUGGGGGUGGGGGGGGCAUGCAUGUGUGCCUGGAUCUGGUAGGUGCUAGGCCAGCAAGGUGGGAGGGAAGGGGCUGGAGAGAUGGAGAAUCAUUGAUCAAAGCUGACAGUCUACUGACUGUCAGGAUUGGGCUUUCUCUUUUGGCUCAUUUUUCAGAGCAUUUCUCACCAUUCCAUUUAAUUCUGAUUACAAAUUAUCCAUUCCUCAUGCACAAAGUAUAAGAAUAAAGAAAAUUUAAACCCAGGCAAUGCAAACAGAUCAAGGAAGGGCAUUUCAACUCUCAUUUCAUUCUAACUGUAGGAAGAAACAAACAGCAAUUUGACCCCCGUUUUACUUCCUAGUGGCUGAGUGGCCCCUUCACCUCAGGGAAAAGACCUGACCUGGAAACUAGGUGUGCCAAAGAACUUGAAAACCAACAGGUUCUAUGACAUGAAUAGUUUCAUUAAAAGUAUCCUCCAUAUUUACCUCAUGAGAGGCUUCCAGGAAGUUUCUCUUCCCUCCUUCAUCUGCUGCCUGGGAUGCAGAUGUGUUGACUGGAGCUCAGCAGUCAACCUGAACCAUGAGGCACACCCAAGGAGGGUGCUGCAUUGAGCUGCAAAGACCCCCAAGGACCCAUGGAGCUGCCCCACUGCCUGAACUGCUGGCCCCUGGACUUCUAUCCUGUGAGAGGGGAAUCACGGAGAAGGCCAAGUGCAACACCUUUAAGGGGCCAAUCACAGAAAGAGAGGCCCCCUCUACAGAGUAUAAGAACCCCAGCAUCUCAUGGCUGAUGGCACAAGAUUGCCCUGAAGGGUCCAUUCUGAUUCUCUGCUUUUCCAGUGCUUGCAUGUUGAAUCCGGAUUUGGCAGUAGCAGGAGCUCUUGAGAGGACCUGGUCGAGAGAGGCCUGGAAGCCCCUGGGGAGAGAGGAAAUCACACCUACAUCGUGACUGAUGAACUAGUGCAGACACCUUCCUGGAGAUAUGCUUCUCAGUCAAGGUGAAGGAGCCAUCUCUAAGUGUCCAAUAUGGAUCUGUUGUGGAAUGAUACUUUCAUAAAACACAAUUAAAAUGGAAAUUUAGAAAAGACUGGGCAUUCCUAUCAUGGCUCAGCAGUAGCAAACCCAACUAGUAUCCAUGAGGAUGCAGGUUCAAUCCCUAGCCUUGCACAGUGAGUUAAGAAUCUGGCAUUGCUGUGAGGUGCGGUGCAGUUUGCAGACUUGGCUUGGAUCUGGCAUUGGGGUGUGGCUCUAAAGAGCAAAAAAAAAAGAGAAAUUAAAAGACAUUUUUUCUAUUCUUUUUCUUUAUUAUUUGAACAUACUCAUGUACAAUAUAUCGAGAUAUGUAAAAAAAUAUAUUGAGAUACAUAUAUAUGUAUACUCAAAUGUUACACUCUUUUUAACACAGUCACCUCAAUUACUUGGAUAAAUCUCACAGUUUUAAUUAUUAGAUUGGACAGACCUAAAAUCACUCUGUCGAACUGAAAUAAAAUUUCUCAUCACAGCUGCUCUCAGGUUUUGUCCUUGCCUCCUCAAGGACUGGUGACAGUCCACAGACCAGCACUGGGUAGCAUGGACUUUUAACUCAGACCCAAAAGGAAUAUUGUGUGCAUGAUACAUAUAUUAAUAGAAGUGUUUAGUCUGGGAAGUUCCCGUCGUGGCGCAGAGGAAAUGAAUCUGACUAGAAAUCAUGAGGUUUUGGGUUUGCUCCCUGGCCUCACCUAGCGGAUCAAGGAUCGGGCAUUGCCAUGAGCUGUGGUGUAGGUCACAGAUGUGGCUCGGACCUGGUGUUGCUGUAGCUAUGGUAUAGGCCAGCAGCUACAGCUCUGAUUAGACCCCUAGAAUGGGAACCUCCAUAUGCUGCAGGUGUGGCACUAAAAACCAAAAGGAAAAAAAAAAAAAAAAAAAAAAAA
rnacentral:lncRNA from 1 species